rnacentral:rRNA from 1 species
AAAAGGUAACGGAGGCGCUCAAAGGUUCCCUCAGAAUGGUUGGAAAUCAUUCAUAGAGUGUAAAGGCAUAAGGGAGCUUGACUGCGAGACCUACAAGUCGAGCAGGGUCGAAAGACGGACUUAGUGAUCCGGUGGUUCCGCAUGGAAGGGCCAUCGCUCAACGGAUAAAAGCUACCCCGGGGAUAACAGGCUUAUCUCCCCCAAGAGUUCACAUCGACGGGGAGGUUUGGCACCUCGAUGUCGGCUCAUCGCAUCCUGGGGCUGUAGUCGGUCCCAAGGGUUGGGCUGUUCGCCCAUUAAAGCGGUACGCGAGCUGGGUUCAGAACGUCGUGAGACAGUUCGGUCCCUAUCCGUCGUGGGCGUAGGAAAUUUGAGAGGAGCUGUCCUUAGUACGAGAGGACCGGGAUGGACAUACCUCUGGUGUACCAGUUGUCGUGCCAACGGCAUAGCUGGGUAGCUAUGUGUGGACGGGAUAAGUGCUGAAAGCAUCUAAGCAUGAAGCCCCCCUCAAGAUGAGAUUUCCCAACUUCGGUUAUAAGAUCCCUCAAAGAUGAUGAGGUUAAUAGGUUCGAGGUGGAAGCAUGGUGACAUGUGGAGCUGACGAAUACUAAUCGAUCGAAGACU